rnacentral:rRNA from 1 species
UAGGGAAUCUUCCGCAAUGGACGCAAGUCUGACGGAGCAACGCCGCGUGAGUGAAGAAGGAUUUCGGUUCGUAAAACUCUGUUGUUAGAGAAGAACAGCGCAUAGAGUAACUGUUAUGCGUGUGACGGUAUCUAACCAGAAAGCCACGGCUAACUACGUGCCAGCAGCCGCGGUAAUACGUAGGUGGCAAGCGUUGUCCGGAUUUAUUGGGCGUAAAGCGAGCGCAGGCGGUCAAUUAAGUCUGAUGUGAAAGCCCCCGGCUCAACCGGGGAGGGUCAUUGGAAACUGGUUGACUUGAGUGCAGAAGAGGAGAGUGGAAUUCCAUGUGUAGGGGUGAAAUGCGUAGAUAUAUGUAGGAAAACCAGUGGCGAAGGCGAUACUCUGGUUUGUUACAGACGAUGAGGUUCGAAAGCGUGGGUAGCAAACAGG